GACAGAGGGUGCAAACGUUGUUCGGAAUUACUGGGCGUAAAGCGCGUGUAGGCGGCCCUGCAAGUCGGAUGUGAAAUCCCACGGCUCACCGUGGAAGUGCAUUCGAAACUGCAGGGCUAGAGUCCUGGAGAGGAAGGUGGAAUGCUUGGUGUAGAGGUGAAAUUCGUAGAUAUCAAGCGGAACACCGGUGGCGAAGGCGGCCUUCUGGACAGUGACUGACGCUGAGACGCGAAAAGCCAGGGGGAGCAA
rnacentral:rRNA from 1 species